AUAUUUACCUGCCAAGGGUCUUGGCCUAUGAUGAUCACAAAGGUGGCUUUCCCGAGGCAACGUUCAUCUAUUGUAUUCCUGGUAUGCUGACCCCUGUAAUUUCUCCAAAUGUAGAAAAUCCAACUGCAAUUUGCUAUAGUUGUGUGUGUGUGUGUGUGUGUAUGU
rnacentral:snRNA from 1 species